rnacentral:rRNA from 1 species
CGCUCAGGACGAACGCUGGCGGCGUGCCUAAUACAUGCAAGUCGAACGAACUCUGGUAUUGAUUGGUGCUUGCAUCAUGAUUUACAUUUGAGUGAGUGGCGAACUGGUGAGUAACACGUGGGAAACCUGCCCAGAAGCGGGGGAUAACACCUGGAAACAGAUGCUAAUACCGCAUAACAACUUGGACCGCAUGGUCCGAGCUUGAAAGAUGGCUUCGGCUAUCACUUUUGGAUGGUCCCGCGGCGUAUUAGCUAGAUGGUGGGGUAACGGCUCACCAUGGCAAUGAUACGUAGCCGACCUGAGAGGGUAAUCGGCCACAUUGGGACUGAGACACGGCCCAAACUCCUACGGGAGGCAGCAGUAGGGAAUCUUCCACAAUGGACGAAAGUCUGAUGGAGCAACGCCGCGUGAGUGAAGAAGGGUUUCGGCUCGUAAAACUCUGUUGUUAAAGAAGAACAUAUCUGAGAGUAACUGUUCAGGUAUUGACGGUAUUUAACCAGAAAGCCACGGCUAACUACGUGCCAGCAGCCGCGGUAAUACGUAGGUGGCAAGCGUUGUCCGGAUUUAUUGGGCGUAAAGCGAGCGCAGGCGGUUUUUUAAGUCUGAUGUGAAAGCCUUCGGCUCAACCGAAGAAGUGCAUCGGAAACUGGGAAACUUGAGUGCAGAAGAGGACAGUGGAACUCCAUGUGUAGCGGUGAAAUGCGUAGAUAUAUGGAAGAACACCAGUGGCGAAGGCGGCUGUCUGGUCUGUAACUGACGCUGAGGCUCGAAAGUAUGGGUAGCAAACAGGAUUAGAUACCCUGGUAGUCCAUACCGUAAACGAUGAAUGCUAAGUGUUGGAGGGUUUCCGCCCUUCAGUGCUGCAGCUAACGCAUUAAGCAUUCCGCCUGGGGAGUACGGCCGCAAGGCUGAAACUCAAAGGAAUUGACGGGGGCCCGCACAAGCGGUGGAGCAUGUGGUUUAAUUCGAAGCUACGCGAAGAACCUUACCAGGUCUUGACAUACUAUGCAAAUCUAAGAGAUUAGACGUUCCCUUCGGGGACAUGGAUACAGGUGGUGCAUGGUUGUCGUCAGCUCGUGUCGUGAGAUGUUGGGUUAAGUCCCGCAACGAGCGCAACCCUUAUUAUCAGUUGCCAGCAUUAAGUUGGGCACUCUGGUGAGACUGCCGGUGACAAACCGGAGGAAGGUGGGGAUGACGUCAAAUCAUCAUGCCCCUUAUGACCUGGGCUACACACGUGCUACAAUGGAUGGUACAACGAGUUGCGAACUCGCGAGAGUAAGCUAAUCUCUUAAAGCCAUUCUCAGUUCGGAUUGUAGGCUGCAACUCGCCUACAUGAAGUCGGAAUCGCUAGUAAUCGCGGAUCAGCAUGCCGCGGUGAAUACGUUCCCGGGCCUUGUACACACCGCCCGUCACACCAUGAGAGUUUGUAACACCCAAAGUCGGUGGGGUAACCUUUUAGGAACCAGCCGCCUAAGGUGGGACAGAUGAUUAGGGUGAAGUCGUAACAGGGGAAACCGGAAAG